ensembl:lncRNA
CUUUAAUGGACUUCACUCAGCACUUCUGCAUGCCCUCAGGGAACACCCAUGAUGUUGACUAAGUCUACUUUUGCAGUUUGUUCACGUCUCUGAGAAUGUGUUUGUCAAGAGUGGCUGUAUGACUGUAGCAAGCAGGUUGUACUUGUACAUUUAAUGUCAGCAUCUAAGGAGGUAAAGUUCACUUGUGAUGACUGCUCACUCUCUCCCUUUGUCUGUUAUCCUGGUUUGAGGUUGUUAGAGGUGGGUCCAAAGAGGAGUCAUUCCUUAACUAACUUCUCAGAUUGCUGUACAAGGGGUCUAUGUGUGCCAACACUGAAUUUUCCCCAGUAAUCAGGAAUAUGUUUGGUUUAUGGUUUAGAUCCAUGAACCAAAAAUCCAUCGUAAUCCAUACACUUUCUGCACUGUUGAAAGCUGUGCUAUUUUCCUUCACAAUUAAAUAUAUUUCGGUUAUUUCAAAUAUUUCACUGUUGUCUGUGUGGAGGUCUGUCUCUGUGUCUGAGCUUUGAUAUCAGGAAGCCUUCACCUGUCUCAUUUAUACUGAAUAAAGAGCCUGAGGAGUUUUCUGUUUUUUCAGGUAACAAAUGGGUACCUCAAGAUUAACGCUGUCAUAUGUGAAUGAGUGUUGGUUUCCUUUUAAACUGUCACUGUUUUUUUUUUUUUUGUUUUUUUUUUAAAUCUGUGUAUUUGCUCCUGAUUUUACUUUUUUGCAUUGGUCUGAAAUGGCCCAGCUUUGUUUAGUUAAUGUGAGUAGAUAAACAAUAAACACUGUCUUUAUUUGAUUUUUUAUGCAUAUGUUUACCGUACACAGGUCAUCACAGCAAAUGUGUUACAGAAAUGGGCAUUUGCACAGAUAUGAAUCAAAAAACUGUACUGCUAAUAAAUCAUAUUGAAAGCAACUUUUGCAAGACAUGUUUUAAUACAGGUUAUAAGGAUUUCUUAUACAUUUGAAAACAAAACAAAUCACAAAGAAAACCCCAAAACAUUUCACCUCCCAUUGGUUUUUCAGUCGGGCUCUAAUUUGAAGAAAUAGAUUUUUUGUUUUUCAAAUGGACAAACAACAGGAAUUGGUGUCUAGAAAUAAAGAAUAAAAAAAUCUAAAAUCUCAUGAACUGCCAUAAACCAGCGCAAAGGUUUUACUACUUGCAAAGGCACACAGGCUCAUUAUUAACAAAGGCAGAGGCAUGGCAAAUCAAUUUACAUAAUUUUAUUAAACAAAAUAACUGAAAAUAUGGACCUGUGGCAAAGAAAACAGCAAAUUAAGUGGUAGCACUGUCAACCCCCCCCAAAAAAGAGAAAUUAAUUUUAAAAAAACCACUUUAUCACCAGACAUUGGUUUAAAAAAUAAAUAAAUAAAAAAUUCACCGCCACCAACAAAUAGGAAAACACAGACAGUAGUAAACGUGAUGGGAGAAAGACAAUAAAGCAAAGAGGGUAAAACAAAAGGAACUAAUCAACUCUAUGAAAUUCAACUAAUUCCAGUUUAACUAAAGACUCAAAAUAUUAAGGAAAUACAAGAUGAAAAUGUAAACGAUAAUAAGAUAACAACCGAAUUGUAAAUAUUUAAUAAUAUUUAAUAACAAAAUCAAUAAAUUAAGGGACAAAUAAAACACCCAAGCUGAUAUGUCAAAAUCACAAACAAUGCCCAAGUCUUAAUAAAAUGACACAUAGUCACGCAUAUGAAUAAAGAACUUAACAAAGCAUAAUUUUAUAUUUACCAAGAACAUUGCAGUGAUAAAACUGGUUUGCUAUCUAGGACUUUUAAAGCUUGAUUAUGAAGGGAGUGGUUUUAAAGUUAUAGCACCAGCAGGAAAUGCAGUUGUUAAUAUGACAGAACAUUAGCUUUUUCUUACAC